CAAGCGAUGGGGUGACGCAGGAAGGUAGCUGGGCCAGUCAGUGGUUGUACUGGUGUAAGAGUGUAGGCCGUGACAUAGGCAAAUCCGUGUCACAUUAAGGCUGAGACUUGAUGCAUACCCGUUGUGGGGAAUUCAGUGAUCCUAUGCUGCCGAGAAAAGCCUCUAGUGAGUUCAUACACGGCCCGUACCCCAAACCGACACAGGUGAUCAGGUAGAGAAUACCAAGGCGAUCGAGAGAACUGUGGUUAAGGAACUCGGCAAAAUGCCCCCGUAACUUCGGGAGAAGGGGGACCAUGCCCGGUGAACAUCCUCACGGUGGGAGCUGGGUGUGGUCGCAGAGACCAGAGAGAAGCGACUGUUUACUAAAAACACGGGUCCGUGCGAAGACGUAAGUCGAUGUAUACGGACUGACGCCUGCCCGGUGCUGGAAGGUUAAGAGGACCGGUUAGCCGUAAGGCGAAGCUGAGAAUUUAAGCCCCAGUAAACGGCGGUGGUAACUAUAACCAUCCUAAGGUAGCGAAAUUCCUUGUCGGGUAAGUUCCGACCUGCACGAAUGGCGUAACGACUUCUCUGCUGUCUCGACCACAGACUCGGCGAAAUUGCACUACGAGUAAAGAUGCUCGUUACGCGCGGCAGGACGAAAAGACCCCGGGACCUUUACUAUAGCUUGGUAUUGGCGUUCGAUUCGGUUUGUGUAGGAUAGGUGGGAGACUGUGAAGCAUGCACGCCAGUGUGUGUGGAGUCGUUGUUGAAAUACCACUCUGAUCGUAUUGGACGUCUAACCUCGGCCCAUGAUCUGGGUUAGGGACAGUGCCUGGUGGGUAGUUUAACUGGGGCGGUUGCCUCCUAAAGAGUAACGGAGGCGCCCAAAGGUUCCCUCAGCCUGGAUGGCAAUCAGGUGUUGAGUGCAAGUGCACAAGGGAGCUUGACUUGAGACUGACACGUCGAGCAGGGACGAAAGUCGGGACUAGUGAUCCGGCACCGGCAAGUGGAAGCGGUGUCGCUCAACGGAUAAAAGGUACCCCGGGGAUAACAGGCUGAUCUUCCCCAAGAGUCCAUAUCGACGGGAUGGUUUGGCACCUCGAUGUCGGCUCGUCGCAUCCUGGGGCUGGAGUAGGUCCCAAGGGUUGGGCUGUUCGCCCAUUAAAGCGGCACGCGAGCUGGGUUUAGAACGUCGUGAGACAGUUCGGUCUCUAUCCGCCGCGCGCGUAAGAAACUUGAGGAAGGCUGUCCCUAGUACGAGAGGACCGGGACGGACGAACCUCUGGUGUGCCAGUUGUUCCACCAGGAGCAUGGCUGGUUAGCUACGUUCGGAAGGGAUAACCGCUGAAAGCAUCUAAGCGGGAAGCCUGUUCCAAGAUGAGGUUUCUCACCACCUUGCGUGGUUAAGGCCCCCUACAGACCAUGGGGUUGAUAGGCCGGAACUGGAAGCGCAGCAAUGCGUGGAGGUGACCGGUACUAAUAGGCCGAGGGCUUG
rnacentral:rRNA from 1 species